rnacentral:rRNA from 1 species
UACAGAGGGGGCAAGCGUUGUUCGGAAUUACUGGGCGUAAAGGGCGCGUAGGCGGCCUGUUAAGUCGAACGUGAAAUCCCCGGGCUCAACCCGGGAACUGCGUCCGAUACCGGCAGGCUUGAAUCCGGGAGAGGGAUGCGGAAUUCCAGGUGUAGCGGUGAAAUGCGUAGAUAUCAUCAGGAACACCGGUGGCGAAAGCGGCUCACUGGGGCUUUUCUGACGCUGAGGGACGGAAAGCUAGGGGAGCGAACGGG